AGAGUUUGAUCAUGGCUCAGAAUCAACGCUGGCGGCGUGCCUAACACAUGCAAGUCGAGCGAGAAAGUGUAGCAAUACAUUAGUACAGCGGCGCACGGGUGAGUAACACGUGGAUAACCUGCCUCGAAGUGGGGAAUAACACCGGGAAACCGGUGCUAAUACCGCAUACUCUGACGAGAUCUGUGGAUUUUGUCAGCAAAGGAGCAAUUCGCUUUGAGAGGGGUCCGCGGCUGAUUAGCUAGUUGGUGAGGUAAUGGCUCACCAAGGCCACGAUCAGUAGCCGGUCUGAGAGGACGGUCGGCCACACUGGAACUGAGACACGGUCCAGACUCCUACGGGAGGCAGCAGUGGGGAAUUUUUCGCAAUGGGGGCAACCCUGACGAAGCAACGCCGCGUGGGUGAUGAAGUAUUUCGGUACGUAAAACCCUUUCGACGGGGACGAAACCGCAAGGUUGACGGUACCCGUAGAAGAAGCCCCCGGCUAACUCCGUGCCAGCAGCCGCGGUAAUACGGGGGGGGCAAGCGUUGUUCGGAAUUACUGGGCGUAAAGGGCGCGUAGGCGGUUUGCUAAGUUGGAUGUGAAAACUCUGGGCUUAACCCAGAGCCUGCAUCCAAAACUGGCUAACUUGAGUACUGGAGGGGAAAGCGGAAUUCCUGGUGUAGCGGUGAAAUGCGUAGAUAUCAGGAGGAACACCGGUGGCGAAGGCGGCUUUCUGGACAGUAACUGACGCUGAGGCGCGAAAGCUAGGGGAGCAAACAGGAUUAGAUACCCCAGUAGUCC
rnacentral:rRNA from 1 species